rnacentral:rRNA from 1 species
CCUACGGGAGGCAGCAGUGGGGAAUAUUGCACAAUGGGGGAAACCCUGAUGCAGCGACGCCGCGUGAGUGAAGAAGUAAUUCGUUAUGUAAAGCUCUAUCAGCAGGGAAGAAAAUGACGGUACCUGAGUAAGAAGCCCCGGCUAACUACGUGCCAGCAGCCGCGGUAAUACGUAGGGGGCAAGCGUUAUCCGGAUUUACUGGGUGUAAAGGGAGCGUAGACGGCAGUGCAAGUCUGGAGUGAAAGGCGGGGGCUCAACCCCCGGACUGCUCUGGAAACUGUACGGCUGGAGUGCAGGAGAGGUAAGUGGAAUUCCUAGUGUAGCGGUGAAAUGCGUAGAUAUUAGGAGGAACACCAGUGGCGAAGGCGGCUUACUGGACUGUAACUGACGCUGAGGAGCGAAAGCGUGGGUAGCAAACAGGAUUAGAUACCCCUGUAGUC